UGUUCCCGAGGCUGUUUGUGAUGUUUGUCGUGCUGAGGAAGGGGACGCCGCGUUCGCAAGGGAUUUGAUUGCUCGGCGAGAUCUUGCUGCAUUUCGACCGCGGGGAUGGGGAGGAUAAUGAAACAACUUCAUCUGAAGCUUUAUAUAACUCACCUAAGCUUCUACAUGGUGUGUUUGACCAGUUACUCGAUGAUCUGUUGUCCUCUUCACACAAAUAGUUCCUGGAGGUUAAUGAUCACGACAUUGGAAAUCCAGUGUCUGCUUCUACAUGUGCUACUUGUUCAAUGUCUAUAAGAAGAUGCUGCGAUCUGCACUUCUGUAAACAACACAACCUCUGGCCCUAUUAUUGAUAACAUAGGUAGGCUGGGGAUGAUACAUGCGGUUGCAUGUCAGAGUCAUGUUACGAAGUCCAG